GUAAGAAUAUAUGUUGCCUCUUUGUAGUCAGUACUACUUUAACUCUUCUGCAAAGGGAGUUUAUUCCAUUUCAUUUUGGUAUCCUGGCUGCCUGUCCCCACUUCCAAUAGCAACUCAUGGUCACAGCAGAGCGACUCGGGGGAGGAGGAAAUGAAACAGGGUGGUAUGGCUCACAAGUGCUUUAUGGUUGUAACUCAUUAACAAGGAACUUGGUUUCCAGUGAGCCGAACAGCUUUAAUGUUCAUUUCGCCCUUCACAUUCUUCUUAUGCUGACACAGGUUAAUGCCAACCGUGGAUUUCAUUCUAUUUUACAAAACAAGUGGUCUCACCCAUGCAACGCAACCAAAUUAAUUGGAACGAUUGAGACAAACCAAAGCAAAGCCUGAAGUGGAACCCACUGCCAUCAUUUCAAGACCUAUUAUUUCAAGUAACCACGUGGGGAACAUGAUGGUGAUUGCGGCCAGUGUGGAGUGGUUGCCUUCUUCCAACAUGGGCAGAGUGCUGCUGAGCCUGCAGGGCUGAGCCAAAGCUGCUACAGAGACUUCCCAGGCGAUGUCUGAUUGGAAAACUUUGAACAUGGUCUCCUAUCAUGAGUUAUUACUGCUCCUGAAUGUACAGCACUUAGGAAUACAAAUGGUGGUCUCUGCAGCACAUUUAAAUGGGCUGUGUGUUGUCUGUCCUUUCUCACGUUGUGGAAUGUGUUCCUAUGGGUUCCUCUGUUGGAGAAGCGUGACAUCAUUUUUCAGACAGAAUCGGUGAGGCUUUAAGUUCAGAUACCCGACAGAAUCACAGAACUGUGGAAUCUUUGGGGUUAGAAGGGACCUCUGAAGCUCGCCCAGUCCAGCUCACCUGCACUGAACAGCAACAUGCACGGCUAGGCCAGGAAACGUGGUUGAGACUUCACAUCUUCAGGCUUUCUCAAAUGUGAAGAACUUUCUUAAUGCCUAUCGAAAUUUGGGAUUCUUUGUAACCGAAUAAUUCCUGGAGGCUGAGCUGUAAAGAAAACACGGGCUGCUCGAACACAU
rnacentral:lncRNA from 1 species